UACCAGCUCUUCGAGUGGUGUGGAUAUUUAUUGGGCCUAAAGCAUCCGUAGCCGGCCAGAUAAGUUCUUCGUUAAAUCCAACGUCUUAAUCGUUGGGCUGCGGGGAAUACUGUUUGGCUAGGGGGUGGGAGCGGCCGACGGUAUUUCCGGGGUAGGGGUGAAAUCCUAUAAUCCCGGGAGGACCACCAGUGGCGAAGGCUGUCGGCUGGAACACGCUCGACGGUGAGGGAUGAAAGCUGGGGGAGCGAACCGGAUUAGAUACCCGGGUAGUCCCAGCUGUAAACGAUGCAGGCUAGGUGUUAAGGCGGCUACGUGCCGCUUUAGUGCCGCAGGGAAGCCGUUAAGCCUGCCGCCUGGGGAGUACGGCCGCAAGGCUGAAACUUAAGGAAUUGGCGGGGAGCACCACAAGGGGUGAAGCUUGCGGUUU
rnacentral:rRNA from 1 species